rnacentral:rRNA from 1 species
CUACGUGCCAGCAGCCGCGGUAAUACGGAGGAUGCGAGCGUUAUCCGGAUUUAUUGGGUUUAAAGGGUGCGUAGGCGGCCUGUUAAGUCAGCGGUGAAAUCUAGGAGCUUAACUCCUAAAUUGCCAUUGAUACUGGCGGGCUUGAGUGUAGAUGAGGUAGGCGGAAUGCGUGGUGUAGCGGUGGAAUGCAUAGAUAUCACGCAGAACUCCGAUUGCGAAGGCAGCUUACUAAGGUACAACUGACGCUGAAGCACGAAAGCGUGGGUAUCAAACAGGAUUAGAUACCCUGGUAGUCCACGCUGUAAACGAUGAUAACUGGGCGUAUGCGAUAUACAGUAUGCUCCUAAGCGAAAGCGUUAAGUUAUCCACCUGGGGAGUACGCCGGCAACGGUGAAACUCAAAGGAAUUGACGGGGGCCCGCACAAGCGGAGGAACAUGUGGUUUAAUUCGAUGAUACGCGAGGAACCUUACCCGGGAUUGAA